rnacentral:rRNA from 1 species
GGGUCAGUAGGUUGGUCGUGCCACCGGUACGUACUGGUCUCACUGAUUCCUCCUUCCUGAAGAACCGUAAUGCCAUUAAUUUGGUGUUGCGGGGAAACAGGACUGUUACUUUGAAAAAAUUAGAGUGUUUAAAGCAAGCCAACGCUUGAAUACAUUAGCAUGGAAUAAUGGAAUAGGACGAUCGAUCCUAUUUUGUUGGUUUCUAGGAUUGACGUA